GGGGAACUCGGUGAGCGGCGGAGGGUUAGUAACGCGUGGGACAUACCCUUCUCUAAGGAAUAGCCACUGGAAACGGUGAGUAAUACCUUAUACGCCCUUCGGGGGAAAGAUUUAUCGGAGAUGGAUUGGCCCGCGUUAGAUUAGAUAGUUGGUGGGGUAACGGCCUACCAAGUCUACGAUCUAUAGCUGGUUUUAGAGGAUGAUCAGCAACACUGGGACUGAGACACGGCCCAGACUCCUACGGGAGGCAGCAGUGGGGAAUCUUAGACAAUGGGCGAAAGCCUGAUCUAGCCAUGCCGCGUGAGUGAUGAAGGCCUUAGGGUCGUAAAGCUCUUUCGCCAGGGAUGAUAAUGACAGUACCUGGUAAAGAAACCCCGGCUAACUCCGUGCCAGCAGCCGCGGUAAUACGGAGGGGGUUAGCGUUGUUCGGAAUUACUGGGCGUAAAGCGCACGUAGGCGGACUAUUAAGUCAGAGGUGAAAUCCCGGGGCUCAACCCCGGAACUGCCUUUGAUACUGGUAGUCUUGAGUUCGAGAGAGGUGAGUGGAAUUCCGAGUGUAGAGGUGAAAUUCGUAGAUAUUCGGAGGAACACCAGUGGCGAAGGCGGCUCACUGGCUCGAUACUGACGCUGAGGUGCGAAAGUGUGGGGAG
rnacentral:rRNA from 1 species